CGUAUCUAGCCAUGCCUAGUCGCACGGGUUCACGUACCCGUGGCGUAAUAGCAUCCGUAACACGUGGCCGAACUACCCUAUGGAUCGGAAUAACCUCGGGAAACUGAGGCUAAUACCGAAUACCGCGUCUCACGUUGGUAGUUACAGAGAGCACGAAACACUCCGGCGCCAUAGGAUGUGGCUGCGGCCGAUUAGGUAGACGGUGGGGUAACGGCCCACCGUGCCGAUAAUCGGUACGGGUUGUGAGAGCAAGAACCCGGAGACGGUAUCUGAGACAAGAUACCGGGCCCUACGGGGCGCAGCAGGCGCGAAACCUUUACACUGCACGAACGUGCGAUAAGGGGACUCCAAGUGCGAGGGCAUACAGUCCUCGCUUUUCCCUACCGUAAGGUGGUAGGUGAAUAAGAGCUGGGCAAGACCGGUGCCAGCCGCCGCGGUAAUACCGGCAGCUCGAGUGAUGGCCAAUAUUAUUGGGCCUAAAGCGUCCGUAGCUGGCCGAACAGGUCCGUCGGGAAAUCCGCUCGCUCAACGAGCGGACGUCCGGCGGAAACCAGUCGGCUUGGGACCGGAAGACCCGAGGGGUACGUCCGGGGUAGGAGUGAAAUCCUGUAAUCCUGGACGGACCACCGGUGGCGAAAGCGCCUCGGGAGGACGGAUCCGACAGUGAGGGACGAAAGCUUGGGUCACGAACCGGAUUAGAUACCCGGGUAGUCCAAGCUGUAAACGAUGCUCGCUAGGUGUGGCACUGGCUACGAGCCAGUGCUGUGCCGUAGGGAAGCCGAGAAGCGAGCCGCCUGGGAAGUACGUCCGCAAGGAUGAAACUUAAAGGAAUUGGCGGGGGAGCACUACAACCGGAGGAGCCUGCGGUUUAAUUGGACUCAACGCCGGACAUCUCACCAGCACCGACAGUGUGCGAUGAAGAUCAGUGUGAUGAGCUUAUUGGAGCCACUGAGAGGAGGUGCAUGGCCGCCGUCAGCUCGUACCGUGAGGCGUCCUGUUAAGUCAGGCAACGAGCGAGACCCGCAUCCUUAAUUGCCAGCAGUACCCUUGUGGUAGCUGGGUACAUUAGGGAGACUGCCGUGGCCCAACCCGGAGGAAGGAACGGGCAACGGUAGGUCAGUAUGC
rnacentral:rRNA from 1 species